AGUGAACGCUGGCGGUAGGCCUAACACAUGCAAGUCGAACGGCAGCACAGUAAGAGCUUGCUCUUACGGGUGGCGAGUGGCGGACGGGUGAGGAAUACAUCGGAAUCUACUUUUUCGUGGGGGAUAACGUAGGGAAACUUACGCUAAUACCGCAUACGACCUACGGGUGAAAGCAGGGGAUCUUCGGACCUUGCGCGAUUGAAUGAGCCGAUGUCGGAUUAGCUAGUUGGCGGGGUAAAGGCCCACCAAGGCGACGAUCCGUAGCUGGUCUGAGAGGAUGAUCAGCCACACUGGAAGUGAGACACGGUCCAGACUCCUACGGGAGGCAGCAGUGGGGAAUAUUGGACAAUGGGGGCAAGCCUGAUCCAGCAAUACCGCGUGGGUGAAGAAGGCCUUCGGGUUGUAAAGCCCUUUUGUUGGGAAAGAAAAGCAGCAGGUUAAUACCCCGCUGUUCUGACGGUACCCAAAGAAUAAGCACCGGCUAACUUCGUG
rnacentral:rRNA from 1 species